AGAGUUUGAUCAUGGCUCAGAAUCAACGCUGGCGGCGUGCCUAACACAUGCAAGUCGAACGAGAAAGUGGAGCAAUCCAUGAGUAAAGUGGCGACCGGGUGAGUAACACGUGACUAACCUACCUUCGAGUGGGGGAUAACCUCGGGAAACCGAGGCUAAUACCGCAUAACAUCGCAAGAUCAAAGCAGCAAUGCGCUGGAAGAGGGGGUCGCGGCUGAUUAGCUAGUUGGCGGGGUAACGGCCCACCAAGGCGAAGAUCGGUAGCCGGCCUGAGAGGGCGCACGGCCACACUGGAACUGAAACACGGUCCAGACUCCUACGGGAGGCAGCAGUGGGGAAUUUUGCGCAAUGGGGGAAACCCUGACGCAGCAACGCCGCGUGGAGGAUGAAGCCCCUUGGGGCGUAAACUCCUUUCGACCAAGACGAUAAUGACGGUACUGGUGGAAGAAGCACCGGCUAACUCUGUGCCAGCAGCCGCGGUAAUACAGAGGGUGCGAGCGUUGUUCGGAAUUAUUGGGCGUAAAGGGUGCGUAGGCGGUGUCACAAGUCACCUGUGAAAUCCCCGGGCUUAACUCGGGGCCUGCAGGCGAAACUGUGGUGCUGGAGUAUGGGAGAGGUGCGUGGAAUUCCCGGUGUAGCGGUGAAAUGCGUAGAUAUCGGGAGGAACACCUGUGGCGAAAGCGGCGCACUGGACCAUAACUGACGCUGAUGCACGAAAGCUAGGGGAGCAAACAGGAUUAGAUACCCUGGUAGUCCUAGCCCUAAACGAUGAUUGCUUGGUGUAGCAGGUACCCAAUCCUGCUGUGCCGCAGCUAACGCGAUAAGCAAUCCGCCUGGGGAGUACGGUCGCAAGGCUGAAACUCAAAGGAUUUGACGGGGGCCCGCACAAGCGGUGGAGCAUGUGGUUCAAUUCGACGCAACGCGAAGAACUUACCUGGGCUCGAAAUGCAGUGGACCGGGGUGGAAAAUCCCUUCCCCUU
rnacentral:rRNA from 1 species